UGGAGAGACAGCAGGGAGCCUGGCGAACUGAGGCAGAGAGCAAGUCAGCGUGUCCAGGCCGCAGCAGUAGAAAACGGAACCAGAAAAGCUCCAACCUGAGAGCAGGGUUGAGUUUGGUUCUGGUUGAUGUGGGGGACCUUGGAGGAUGUGGAGCUGCAGUUUCUGGCCUUCUACCAUGACGCCGCACCCUGUGUGGGGCUCAGCUGUGCGUCACGUAGGGGUCUCUCUGGCACCUUCGGAUUGGGACGCUGCCUCCGGGACGCUUGCUGAGGCAUCUGCUGUGUGACCAGCGACACACGCUCUGUACCCGCCUCACUCACAGCAGAGCACAUCACCCUUGAGCUCUCAGGGUGAGUUUGUUCACGGGCUCACAGGAGAACACUGGGCAUCCUGAGACCUAUCGUUGGGCCAUCUAUGUCCUGGUUCCCAGCAUGGAAGUUGCAUGGUACACACUCAAUAAAUGUCGGCUGGAAGGGUACAUGAACCAGUGGCGCCAGGUGAGCAGCUCUCCUCUACCUGCCCAUCCACCAUGAUGCUUCUCCCUCAGAGUCGCCAGCGAUGGACUGGGACCUCAGAAACAGUGGGCCACACUGGAACUCUCCUCCUCCAAACUGCGAGUGUCAGCUGUUUUAUCCAAGCAAUGGGAAAGCUA